CGCGGGGGCGCGCUGCGGCCUUCCGGCCGGGUCCUCGGCGCCGCUUACCCGGCUCGCGGCGGACGCGAGAGGGGCGGAGGGCUGGGGAAGCCGGGAUCACCGAGCACUCGGGCUGGCUCGCCUCGCCCACGCACGCUCUCUUCUCCUCGUGCAUUUGGAGCUUCUGCAGUCUUGGCUUAGAGACCUCCCUAACCCAUCAUGACGGAAUAUUAGAAAAUUAAUUUCUCAAGGGACCGGCGCUGUGGCUCACUAGGUUAAUCCUCCGCCUAUGGAGCCAGUAUCCCAUAUGGGCACCGGUUCUAGUCCCGGCUGCACCUCUUCCAAUCCAUCUAUCUCUCUGCUGUGGCUUGGGAUAGCAGUAGAGGAUGGCCCAAGUGCUUGGGCCCCUGCACCUGCAUAGGAGACCAGGAAGAAGCACCUGGCUCCUGGCUUCAGGAAAUGAAAAUAGAGCCACUGAAAUGAUAGAUCGUCAAUCUGUGGGUUCCAGGGACCUCAUAGAUCAAGGGACUCACAGCCAUGUUCCCACAUACCAUCUUGGUUAAUUUUCUCUUGCUCCUUAACACCAGCUCCAGGCAAGAGCACAGCUUUAAGUUAUGUGUGUAGUGGGUGGGAGAACGCAAGAGUGGGUGGGGGAAGACUGAUCUGGGUAGGAGGUAGGCUGAUUGCCAGAUUCCCCAGGGUAAUAGAGAAAGCUUUUUAUUAUAAUUUAGUAGAAAGUCUUAAGCCAAAAAUGUUUCCAUAAAUAAAUACAAAUGUUGGUUCUUGUUGAAAAAUGCAAAUCAGAUGGUCUCAAUGCUUUAAACCUUACUUGGAAUACCUUAAAUAACAAACACAAACAUUUAUGUUUAUACACACACACACACACACACACAUAUAUAUAUACACACACACACACAGUUAAAUGUAUACCAAAUUAGGCACAUAGAGAAUGUAUUAUAAAAUGGCAUUAAUGGGCUCCCACCAGCAUCCUGACAUCAGGCUGAAAUGCAAUUCAAAUCAUGCAAACCUGGAACCACUGCAGGAACUUUCAUCACCACAGCAAGUAUUCAUUAAACCUUUCUUUAGGUUGUAUUUAAACAAUCACAGCCAAAAGAAGACAGAAAUAAACAUCUGGUCUGUCUGACUGCAUCAUUCCUAUCCCAUAAUAUUAAUCUUCUGCUUGGAGAGCAUCAAAACAACAGUGGGUAUAUUAAAUGUGCAGUAUCUGAUCCUAAGAUUGAUUGCUCUAUAUCAAGAGAAGCUGACCUAUGCUUUCUCUUCUACUCCUGAGACAGAUAUUACACAGCUCUCUCAGAACUAGAAUAUUGGUGUAAAUUAUAUAGAUCCAAAGGUAAAGCUAAACUAAGAUCACCCAUUCCUCAUAAAACAUCUGUGGAACAUUUGGAUAUUACCUGAUUGGCAUGGAUGGUAAAUACAUAUAAUUUGCUUUAUUAGAGCUGUUCUGACACCGCCAAAAUAUUUUCUGAGCUAUGAUGGCCAAUUCUCUUCUAAAAAAUAUAUACCUGGGAAUGAAAGGCUGUAGUUUAAGACUAUUAACUGAUCUAGCAGAUUAUCAGCUUUUUCAAAUGCAAUGUAGAUUGGUGACAAAUGUCAUAUUUGAAUUGUAGGCUAAAUCCUCAUUUAAAAAAUUUUAUGGUGAUGCAAAGAAAAUGCCAAUAACAACAAUAAUAGUGAUUUUCAUUAUUGUUAUGUGCCUAUAAAUCUGGCCUGUAAAUCUUAUUGCAAAAAAUAUGCAAUAAUAAACUCCACAAGUAGUUUACAGAGAGCAUUAAGUAACUUGGAGAUGAUUAGAAAGUUCAGUGGUGACAAAAUUAGAGCUUAAUAGCAGGUCCCAUGUUUUACUUUCAAAAAAGAAUCUCUUUUCCUCUUAAUGAGUAAUUUAUUAUUUAUUCCCAAAUGAAACAGUUAAUAAAAUCACAUGUUAUAGCCCAGAGUUCAUAUUUGAUAGCUUAGAAUGAGGUACAAAUGACCCUAAACUUACUACAUACUUUCUGUAACUCUCUCACAAUUUGACUUUGGUCAAGAGUAUUCAGUAAGGCUUUUGCAUAACUUAGUGGAAACUUUCAUUGUCACGAAAGGGAAAAAUAGUCCAAGUGCAUGUUUCUAAAAUGGCAGUAGUAUUAAUUCUUUAAACAUACUUCAGAAUCUCAGGAAGGUAAGUGGAAGGUUAAUUCAUUCCUUAUAAUAAUAUCUUGAUAAGUUUUAUCAAGCACUGUAUGAGGAGGUAGAAACAAAUAAGGACUAUCUUCUGUCCUUAAAGAGCUUCCAAUCUUUUGUUUGUUUGAAGGUUUUUAUUUAAUUAAUACAGAUUUUCAUAUGUACAGCUUUUAGGGAUAUAGUGUUUCUUUCCCCCAUUCCCACCCUUCCAUCCACAUUCCCAUCCCACCUCCCACUCCCUCUCCUGUUCCAUUUUCCAUUAAGAUAGUUUUUAAUUGACUUUAUAUACAGAAGACCAACUCUACUAAGGAGAGAUUUCUUCUUAUUCUUCCUCCUCUUCCUCCUCCUCUUCCUCCUCUUCCUCCUCUUCUUCCUCUUCUUCCUCCUCCUCUUCCUCCUCUUCUUCCUCCUCCUCUUCCUCCUCCACUUCUUCCUCCUCUUCUCCCUUCUGGCAGAGUUAGACAGUAAGAGAUAGGGAGACAGAGAGAAAGGUCUUCCUUCCGUUGGUUCACCCCCAAAUGGCCGCUAUGGCACACUGUGGCCAGCACGCUAUGCUGAUCCGAAGCCAGGAGUUUCCUCCUGGUCUCCCAUGCGGGUGCAGGGCCCAAACACUUGGGCCAUCCUCCACUGCCUUCCUGGGCCACAGCAGAGAGCUGGACUGGAAGAGGAGCAACCAGGACAGGUUGCACAGGAAAAUCCUGUGCCCCAACAGGGACUAGAAUCCAGGGUGCUGGCGCCACAGGUGGAGGAUUAGCCAAGUGAGCUGCGGCACCGACCGAGAGAUUUCAAUUGUUUGCACUCACAGAGACACACAAAGUAUAAAGUACAGUUUGAAGACAAGUUUUACCAUUAAUUCUCAUAGCACAACUCAUUAAGGACACAGGUCCAGCAUGGGGAGCAAGUGCACAGUGACUCCUGUUGUUGAUUUAACAACUGACACUCUUAUUAUAUGAUGUCAGUGAUCACCCAAGGCUCUUGACAUGAGCUUCCAAGGCUAUGGAAGCCUUUUGAGUUCACAAACUCCGUUGGUUUUUAGACAGGGCCAAAUACAAAAUGGAACUUCUGUCCUCCCUUCAGAGAAAAGUACAUCCUUCUUUGCCGCUUCUUUCCACUGGGGUUUCACUCACAGAGAUCCUUCAUGCAGAACCAUUUUUGCCACUAUGUCUUGUUUUUCCAAUCCCCAAAUGCUCUCAUGGUGUUUUCAGUCAGGCCUUAGGGGCUGAUUCUGAGGUCAGAGUGCUGUUUAGGGUGUUUGUUAUUCUGUGAGUCUGCUGUGUGGACUGCUUCUUGUGUUGGAACUUUCUCUGCUUUGUAAUUCUAUCUAUUGUAAUUCCCAGGCAAUCUCUUAAAGUGAAGUGAGACUGAAUAUGUCAUUCCUUACUAGGAGCUCCGUUUAUACCAGUAUGAAUGGAGAAUGCACUCAGAGAAUUUAUGAUGCUUUUGGUACCAGCAUCCAUGAAAAUAUUCAUGAAUGCUAAAGAUGACUGAAACAUUUUUCAGGUUAACUGUUGAAGGAGCAUAUACUAGUAUGGCCCAUGGCAGCAACUAAUGCUUGAGAAAGUUUGUGAUCUCAGUAAACGUAUCCAGAUACAGACUUCAUGAAAGAUGAUGGCAAAAGAGAAGAACACUUCUGAAGGCAGAAAUCAAACCCACAGUGGAGUUAUUGGCAAUUCUAAUCUUCCACUACACACAGAAAAAGUCAGAUGCUGGGAAUGAUAGGAAAAAGACCCAGAAAUGAUAUGAGUGAUGUGGGCUAUGUCAGGUGUACAUGUGGUUCCUUGUCAGGAACACGGAUUUAUUAUAUUAUAUGUGUUUUACAUACAAUAUAACAUUUGUUAUUAUUAUCAUUAUAAAGGAAGCUGAAACUGACGACUUGCCAUGGAGAUGACUCUAGAGUGGUGUUGGAUGGAGAAAAUGCAGUUAGAUGAUGUAGUUACAGUAAAGCAUGUCCCCAUCUAUCACCAGGCAACCUGGUUACCAAAGGCAUUCCAUAAAUACAGGAGAAACUAGCUCAGCAGUUUUCAAUGCUGGCUGCAUGUUAGAGUCACCAGGGGAAAUUUAAACACACAUCAAUUCAAAGGCUGACCCCCAGAGAUUCUGAAUUACCUGUCUGUGGUAUGGCCCAGGCAUUAGAGGGUUUUUUGUUGUUGUUCUUUAAGAUUUAUUUAUUUACUUGAAAGAGUUACACAGAGAGAGGAGAGGCAGAGAGAGAGAGAGGUCUAUCUGCUGGUUCACUCCCCAGUCGGCCGCAACGGCCGGAGCUGCACCGAUCCGAAGUCAAGAGCUUCUUCUGGGUCUCCCAUGCGGGUACAGGGGCCCAAGAAAUUGGGCCAUCUUCUACUGCUUUCCCAGGCCAUAGCAGAGAGCUGAAUUGGAAGUGGAGCAGCUGGGUUUUGAACCAGCGCCUACAAGGGAUGCCAGUGCUGCAGGCCAGGGUGUUAACCCACUGCACCACAGUGCUGGCCCCUUUGUUGUUGUUGUUGUUAUAAGCUUUAUUUUUAAGAAAUAUUAGGUUCCAGCAAAAAUGAAUGGAAAAUACAGAGUUCCCAGAUAAUCUUGUCUCCACAUAAGCACAGUCUCCCCCACUAUCAACACCUCACAUCCGAAUACAGGAACUUCUGUUGUUUUUGUCUAUAUGUUAGGACUGAUGAACCUACAUUGAUUGACAUAUCACCAUCACCCAGAGUUCAUAACCUACAUGAGGGCCCAUUCUUGGUAUUAUAUAUUGUAUCUGUUUGGAAAAAUGCAUGAUGAUUGACCCAUAAUUGUAGUAUUGCAUAGAGAGACAGUCUUUUUGAACAAUCUCUCAGUAAGCCAGUGCACAAGCAGUAAGGAGACAAAAAGACAGGCAUUAUGUCCAGAAGCUGAUACCAUCCAUAAAAACACCAUAGGUUCCACACCAGUCAGGAACCUUAACCUUUAGGUAAAGGCAGGAGGAUAUGCUGAAACUCUGUUGACUAAUAUAAGCUUGCUAACUUUCUAGAAAGCUGUCGUUGUGUAAAUGAAUUGGGGCAGACUACAGAGGAUGGGAUGUUCCUCACUGCUCCUAGGACUGGAAAUAGGAUACAAAGAACUUCCAGAUAACACACUCACAUGUUAUAAUGGAAAGAGAUGUUUAGGACUCAAGACAGGUUUGCUUUAAUAUCUUAACUUUGUUAGGUUCUCUUAAAAAAUACCCAUUUCAUUUAUUUGAGAAGCAGAAGGACAGAGACAGAGAGAGCUCCCAUCUACUGGUUUAUUCCCCAAAUGCACAACCCAGGCCUCCCAUGUGGAUGGCAGGAACCAAAUUACUUGAGCCAUCACCUGCUGCUUCCCAAGCAUGUAUAGCAAACUUUAACUGGGAGAGGAACUGGGAUUUGAACCGAAGCGGUCUGGUAUGGACUGUGGGCAUCCCAACCAGCAUCUUAACUCUUAGACCAAAUGUCUGUCCCAGCUUUGCCAGUCUAUUGCAAUGAACAGGUAUCUGAUUUCUCUGAGUGUCAGUUUCUUUAUCUGAGAAACAGAUCAUAAUACCUAACUUGAAUAGUCAUUAUGAAAUUAAAGUCAUUACAUCAAGCAUAGCAUUUUUCCAGCAUUUUGUAGAUGAUACAUAAAUGGAUUCUAUUAUAUAAAUAUAAUAGUAGGGACUAAAUGUGAGCAUACACAGUGUUUUUAGUAUAUAAAGACCAAAAAAUAAUGAGAACUCACAGGCAGGGAGAGAAUUGGUAGUAGAGUGGUCAGGAAAACUUCUUAGGAUUUUAAAUAAUUUAUAGCAUUUUUAUAGAGGAGAGAUGGCAAAAAAGACGUGGAGAAAAAGACAUGUGAUGAGAGACAUGGCACAUAUAACUGUGGUAUUGGAUUGUAUCUGGGAAGGGAAGCCUUGAGGAUAUUAAUAGAUAGAGUUUGCAGCUAUCAGGUGAGCAACAUCCCCAAGAAAGGACCACAGCAUCAACAUGGAACAUACAGAUAUCCAGGGGCUCUUAGGGACAAUAGCAGUGGUGACAGUUCUGUACAUCUACAAUUCACGUAAAAGGCUUCUUUCCCUUACGUUUUUCUUCUCCAAUUGUCAGAAACACCAUCUUUUAUGAGCAUCUUAAGUAAGAGGAGACAUCUGGUUUUGCAUAAGCGUGAUUGAAAUGAUUUGUGACAAUCUGUGCCCAACAAAAAGAACAUUUCUUCAUCAUAUUCAGCAAAGAUAACACAAACUGCUGCAUGACAAAGCUUUACUCUCUAAAAGAACAUGCUAUUUGUGUGUCUCUUACGUUACCAAAAAGCUACCAAAUGAGGUAGCUGAUGAAAAGAAAGAAUUUGCUGUGGAUGGUGAAUUCAGGACUUGAGAAUCAAAGUGUGGACCUAGGAUGCUAUUAUUUUCAAGUUAUCCUUAAGAAUUAAGUGCUUUAUGACCAGUAGGUGUCACUGCAGGCAUUAAACACAUUCUGUUUCUAGGGAAACUUGCCCUGUAAAUGUUGGUAUAAUUUAAUUGGUAGAACAUAGUUAUGAUAGGCAUAAAGGAUAUUUAUACUGAAAAGCAAUAUAUUUUAUCAUGGUCAUGAACUUGUAAAAACAUUGGCUUAAGGAAGCUAAAGUGUAUGCUUUAAAUGGGCUUACUUAAUACAAUAUACAGCAUAAGUAAUAGAAUCUUAUGAGGUUUUAAAUAUAUACAGUGGGUUUUCCUGGAGAAGAUAAGGUUUGCUUUUCAGAGUUAUUCUAUAGAAUAUGAUUUAUAGGACUAAUUUAAUGAGAAUUCAUGGACCCAAUUGCUGCCUUCUAAAUCUUUGUACAACUGGCUUAUUUUCCUCAUAACUUUAUUGCAGGUUUUGUUAGAGUAUGGAAGGAAAUUAAGAAGUUAGACUUAAAUUACAUUACUCAUCCUCUUUCAGGUUUCUCUGGCCUUUUUAAUAUACAGUAUCUAGUAUCAGGAAGCUAGAGGCUCUAAGUUCUUUUAGAGAAACACACUUUAGUAGUGUCACAGUAUCUUGCACAGAGAAAUACCAGCCAUUACAAAAGAGUGAUCUUUGUUCCAUUUCUACCAUAGUCUUAGAAUUGAUUCAUUUAUGCAAGUCCUGCUGGCAUUAUUGAGUUGAACUUUUGAACAGAAUGCUCGAUAGAAAUCCUUGCACUUUGAAAUUAAUUUGCCUACUGGAGGUAUUGGUGGUACUUAUUUAUACCUAAUUUAAGGGCUAGCUUUGUGAUGAUGUGCCCCUAGCGACUCUUUCAUUGGAUCCAUUUUACAAAUUGAACUGAUGGUGGUGGUUAUGGUACUUUUCAAGGGUGACUUGGGGGCAAUCUAAUUUACCUAAGCUUUCAAAGGUGAAUGUAAUCUUUUCAAUCAUAAAUUAAAAGUCUACUCCAGUUUUCAAAUCAGAAACAGCUACAAAUUAGCUAUCUGCAGGCCAUAAGGGUUCUCUUGCUCUAACAUACCUCAAUUGAUUUCACCAGUGUAGACAUUCCCAGACAUCCUGUGUUUUCGUAUGUCCCUGUAUCAUCUAAAGUAUUUAUGGAACAACACAUUGCUUUUUUUGCAUGUGCAUACUAAUGGGAGCUUUGUGAGAUCCCACUUAUCUAUAUAAACUCAUCUAUGAAAUCCUUUUGACCUGUUAGAUUCCUGGACUGUUAUAAUUUGAAUAGGUAUCUAUGAAAGAAACAAUAUUAAGGAUUUAAACUCCAGGGCUUUGGAAAAUACUUACUCAACUCAAAUAUGUGUGCAUUCUUAAAACAACACUAUGACAGUUUUAAUAACAAAUGUGGACACUGUUCUCCAUUCUAAACCCAUAAUAUUAUAUUUUAACAGAUAUAAAAAUAGACAAAAAUAUGUCAAUCAAUCUAUAUCAUACAAAUCAGUGUAUUGGUGGUAUUUGGAGUUGCACUGUUCUAUGAAAUAUAAUGCAUGGUAUUCUUCCUGAUAUUUUAAAAUUUAUGUCUGUGUUCUCUUUGACUCCCAAGAUCAAUAUACUUCAGUCAUGUAAUUGUGUUACCUAGUACCACUCCUUUUAUUUUAAUACAUUCUGUUGAAUGCCUUUGAUAUUUGUUGAAGGCAAGCAUUGGAAACAAGUUUUUGAAAAUUCGAUGUCAAGUAAGGAUAUUGUUGAGACUGAUUAUCUUUCAUGGGGUUCUGACAAUAUUUGUAUCAUUAUUGGUUUGCUUCUUCUGAAUUUUUAUAAUUGUUUUUAAUUUAAUUCCAUAAUACAGUGGGUUGUUUAAUAACCAGACUCCCCCCAUAGACUUUGGUUUAUGAUAAAGCAUAGCACCUGGAACAGGAGGUGUUCAUGAUCUAUGUUUUUGACAUAACCUGAUUCCUAAGCACUCUUAGUUCAUUUUCACCUUUUGCACUUUUACUUUCAUCUUACUUUGUGUUAUAUGCAUUUGUAGGCUGUCGAAUUUUGGGAGACAAAGCAAGGAGGGACAUAAAUAAAUUAAAAUGCAACCAAAGUAUAUACGACGGGUGGCAAAAAUAGACUUAAAAGGGCCAUCAUUAUGGCACAGUGAGUUUAGCCACUGCUUGCAACAUCAGCAUACCAUAUUGGAGUGCUGGUUCAAGUUCUGCCUGCUUGCUUCUGACCUGAUUUCUUGAUAAUAAGCCUGGGAGAAUAACAGAUGAUGGCCCAUGUACUUUUGUCCCUGCCAAAACAUGAGAGACCAGGAUAGAUUUCCUGGCUCCUGGCUUAGGCCUGGCUUCUGUGGACAUUUGGGGAGUGAACCAGCAGAUAGAAGAUCUGUUUGUGUCUCUCUCUGUCUGCCUUUCUAAUAAAUAAGUAAAUACAUCUUUUUAAAAGGAGAACUAUAUUACACUUAAAAUUUACAUCACUGGGACAUGUACUCUAUAGAAUACUAUACAGCAGUAAAAAACAAUGAAAUCCAGUCAUUUGCAACAAAAUCGAGGAAUCUGGAAAACAUCAUGCUGACUGAAUCAAGCCAGUCCCAAAGGGACAAAUAUCAUAUGUUCUCCCUGAUUGGUGAUAACUAACCAAGCAUCAAAAAGGAAACCUGGUGAAGUGAAAUGGACACUAUGAGAAACAGUGACUUGAUCAGCCCUUGUCCUGACUGUUGAUGUACAAUUUAAUACUUUAUCCCUUUUAGUAUUUUCUUUGUUCUAGUUAAUACUAUUGGUUGAACUAUGUAAUUAACACACAUUUAUUCUUAGGUGUUGAAAUUUAACUGAAAAGUCGGCCAGUGCUGCAGCUCACUAGGCUAAUCCUCCACCUUGCAGCACCGGCACACCGGGUUCUAGUCCCGGUCGGGGCGCCGGAUUCUGUCCCGGUUGCCCCUCUUCCAGUCCAGCUCUCUGCUGUGGCCCGGGAAGGCAGUGGAGGAUGGCCCAAGUGCUUGGGCCCUGUACCCCAUGGGAGACCAGGAGAAGCACCUGGCUCCUGGUUUCGGAUCAGCGCGGUGUGCCGGCCGCAGCGCGCCAGCCGUGGUGGCCAUUGGAGGGUGAACCAACGGCAAAUAGGAAGGCCUUUCUCUCUCUCCCUCUCUCUCUCACUAACCACAUCCUAAUCACUAAAAUUUAUAAUAAAGGUGUGAGAAAGAAAUGAAUUAUCCUUCCUUUUAAAAAUAACUAGCAUCGUACAAAGAAUUGAGUUUGUAGAAUUUCUGUGGUUGUGCAACUCAUAGUAAUUAUAUUUUUGAGGGGGUAGUAUGAAAGACAGAGUGUUAAAACAUUCUCAGGUCAAAGCAAGAAUAUCUGUUAAACUAGAAAGGGGACUAUAGAGAUAAGAAACAAUAAUUUAUUAUUUAGGAACUAGGCAUGGAUAAUUCAAAUUGUUGUGAGACCAAUAGACUGAAAUACCAAGUAUGAAACUUUAAUUUCAGAUUUUUUAUUGUAAACAGGAAGAAUAUUAUUGAGUCAGAAAUGUGUUGUUUUUCUAGUCUUGGAACAUGGCUUACUGGUGGACUAAGUGACCAGUUAAAUAGGGGAGGUAAAGACUGGCCAGGGUGGAGAAUGACUGGACACAGGGAUGGGAUAAGAAAAAGUGACUCAUGGAGAUCUCUUUUAGGAUCAUAGCUUUGUUAUUUGAAGUUGGACUUGGGACAUUCUGGCAAAAUAUACUAAAGCUGAGACAGGAAAUUAGUCUUCAUUAUAAAGUAUUUAAAUAGUUUUAAAAUGAGAAAAAUAUCGGCUGGCGCCGCGGCUCACUAGGCUAAUCCUCCACCUGAGGCGCCGGCACUCCAGAUUCUGGUCCCAGUUGGGGCGCCAGUUCUGUCCUGGUUACUCUUCUUCUAGUCCGGCUCUCUGCUGUGGCCCAGGAAGGCAGUGGAGGAUGGCCCAAGUGCUUGGGCCCUACACCUGCAUGGGAGACCAGGAGGAAGCACCUGGCUCCUGGCCUCGGAUCGGCCCAGCACGCUGGCCAUAGCGGCCAUCGGGGGCUGAACCAACGGAAGGAAGACCUUUCUCUCUGUCUCUCUGUCUAACUCUGCCUGUCAAAAAAAAAAUGAGAAAAAUAUUGUCAAAAUAAACACAAAAGGUAUCUCUGAUUUUAGCGAUAGAAUGAGAUGUAAGAAUGAUGAGCAUGUAAGUGCUCUCAAAAUUGAAUCCUUAUUUGAUAUUUAUUGUUCCAUUUACAUACUGGAUGAUUGACAGAAGUCUUUAUUCAAAAGAAAGAUUUAUAUAUUGCUUCAAAUUUUAAUAAUAAGAUCUAUUUUUGUUAUUACCUUUAUUUCCUGAUAAAUUUGCAAUGCAUCCUAGGUAGAUUUCAUUAGAAAAGGUAAGUCUUAAAAUAAUACACUUUUAAAAACUCAAAUUAAGUGGAGGGCAUCAUGGUGCAACUGGUUAAACAACUGUUUGAGUGCCUGUACAAGUCAGGCUACUUCUCUUCUAAGCCAGCUUCUUGUUAAUGCAAUGUGGGAGGCACAGAUGGUGGUCAAGUGCUUGGAUCCCUGCCACCUGAAUGGUAGACAUGGAGUUCCAGGCUCCUGGGUUCAGCCUGUCCCAGCCCUGACUGUUGGGAGCAUUGAGGAGUAAAUCAGUGGUGCAGGUGCAGUGAUUGAUCUGUCUCUCUCCCUCUCUCUCUCUCUCUCUUUUUU